rnacentral:rRNA from 1 species
AUUGAACGCUGGCGGCAGGCUUAACACAUGCAAGUCGAGCGGGGAAGGGUAGCUUGCUACCUGACCUAGCAGCGGACGGGUGAGUAACGCUUAGGAAUCUGCCUAUUAGUGGGGGACAACAUUCCGAAAGGAAUGCUAAUACCGCAUACGCCCUACGGGGGAAAGCAGGGGAUCUUCGGACCUUGCGCUAAUAGAUGAGCCUAAGUCAGAUUAGCUAGUUCGUGGGGUAAAGGCCUACCAAGGCCACGAUCUGUAGCGGGUCUGCGAGGGUGGUCCGCCACACUGGGACGGGGACACGGCCCAGACUCCUACGGGAGGUAGCAGUGGGGAAUAUUGGACAAUGGGCGCAAGCCUGAUCCAGCCAUGCCGCGUGUGUGAAGAAGGCCUUUUGGUUGUAAAGCACUUUAAGCGAGGAGGAGGCUACUUGGAUUAAUACUCUAGGAUAGUGGACGUUACUCGCAGAAUAAGCACCGGCUAACUCUGUGCCAGCAGCCGCCGUAACAC